AAGUCACUCCAAGGGCAGAUCACCAGGGAGGAGAGGGAGUUGGCCAGGCAGGCAUUGUGCAAUGACCAAUCUCUCACACUGUGCCGACUGCAUAUUCCAGGAAAGCAAAGGCUAUGAGUUUGAGUCAGAAACAGAUACAGAGACCAUCGCCAAGCUGAUUAAAUAUGUGUUCGACAACAGAGAAACUGAGGACAUUACGUUUUCAACGUUGGUCGAGAGAGUCAUUCAGCAGUUGGAAGGUGCAUUCGCGCUGGUUUUCAAGAGCGUCCACUACCCAGGAGAAGCCGUUGCCACACGGAGAGGCAGCCCCCUGCUCAUCGGAGUCCGGAGCAAAUACAAGCUCUCCACAGAACAGAUCCCUAUCUUAUACAGGACGUGCACUCUGGAGAAUGUGAAGAAUAUCUGUAAGACACGGAUGAAGAGGCUGGACAGCUCCGCCUGCCUGCAUGCUGUGGGCGACAAGGCCGUGGAAUUCUUCUUUGCUUCUGAUGCAAGCGCUAUCAUAGAGCACACCAACCGGGUCAUCUUCCUGGAGGAUGAUGACAUCGCCGCAGUGGCUGAUGGGAAACUCUCCAUUCACCGGGUCAAGCGCUCGGCUAGUGAUGACC
rnacentral:sRNA from 1 species